CCCUUAGAUGUUCUGGGCGACCCGCGCACUACACUGGCACUCUCAAUCAGAGCCUGGAUCUAACACUUUGGGGUAUUCUAUGAAGUGGUGUCGUGACUGGGAUUAACCCUUGCAAUUAUUGGUUACGAACGAGGAAUUCCUUGUAAUCGCGGUUUAUCAGCCCGCGUUGAAUGCGUCCCUGCCCUUUGUACACACCGCCCGUCGCUCCUACCGAUGGAUCGUCCGGUGAAGCUCAUGGAGGGGCGGUUGUCUCAGCUGCCGUCGAAGUGAAAUGGACCUCACGAUCUAGAGGAAGGAGAAGUCGUAACA
rnacentral:rRNA from 1 species